rnacentral:lncRNA from 1 species
UUAUCAAAAUACAUUCAUCCCAGUUCUCAAAUCGCUGGUUUGGGUGCCUACAUCUCUCCCCACACUAAUUUCUGCAGGUCAGACGGUGACCCUGAUCGGAACAAAACCGGGAGGCAGAUACUCACUCCGGAGCACCCCCACCCCCCCGGGUGUCACAAGCCAUAUCGCUGCAAAUGCCUCACACACCUUGGAGCGCAGCUUGUGGAACUGAUGAGAGACUAUCAUCUAUCUAUCUAUCGGAGAGACUCUGAACCAGAAUCUUGUCAAGCCUUGGUGCUGCUCCCAACAAACUGAGAAUAACUGGACAUCAGCACAACUAGGGUAGAAACGAGGGAACCAGAGACCCUGCCACCUGUCCAAACCAAGCAAGUGAGUUACGGCCGGAAGAGAUGAACUGUGUCAGCCCUCUGUGUCUGGAGUGCUGCUUAUUUCACUGCCUCAACCCUCCUUUAGGCC